GUAUCCCCAGCUCAUCGAAUUAGAUCAGAAAAAGCCACUCUCAGCUGUCAUCAAGGAGGUUUGCGACGGGUGGAACCUUCCGGGCCCUGAUAACUAUGCGCUCCAGUAUGCUGAUGGUGUUCAGACCUACAUCACGGAGUCGAAUCGACUGGACAUCAAGAACGGUAGCAUCCUCCG